GUACAUGCCUAUAACAUAACGUUAAUGCACUCGAUCCCAUUAGAACUCCCUAGUUAAGCACGCUCGGGUUAGACUAGAGCUAGGAUGGAUGACUGCUCAGGAAGUCCUAGUGUUUUACAUG
rnacentral:rRNA from 1 species